rnacentral:rRNA from 1 species
GGUGUAGGUGGAUUUUUAAGUCAGAAGUGAAAGCCCUGGGCUCAACCCAGGAAGUGCUUUUGAUACUAUUAAUCUUGAGUGUGGGAGAGGAUAGCAGAAUUUCUGGUGUAGUGGUGAAAUACGUAGAUAUCAGAAGGAAUAUCGGUGGGGAAGCCGGCUGUCUGGCCCAACACUGACACUCAGACCCGAAAGCGUGGGGAGCAAACAGGAUUAGAUACCCUGGUAGUCC